UGAGGAAUAUUGGUCAAUGGGCGAUAGCCUGAACCAGCCAAGUAGCGUGAAGGAUGAAGGCUCUAUGGGUCAUAAACUUCUUUUAUAUAAGAAUAAAGUGCAGUAUGUAUACUGUUUUGUAUGUAUUAUAUGAAUAAGGAUCGGCUAACUCCGUGCCAGCAGCCGCGGUAAUACGGAGGAUCCGAGCGUUAUCCGGAUUUAUUGGGUUUAAAGGGAGCGUAGGUGGACUGGUAAGUCAGUUGUGAAAGUUUGCGGCUCAACCGUAAAAUUGCAGUUGAUACUGUCAGUCUUGAGUACAGUAGAGGUGGGCGGAAUUCGUGGUGUAGCGGUGAAAUGCUUAGAUAUCACGAAGAACUCCGAUUGCGAAGGCAGCUCACUGGACUGCAACUGACACUGAUGCUCGAAAGUGUGGGUAUCAAACAGG
rnacentral:rRNA from 1 species